rnacentral:rRNA from 1 species
AGUACGGCGGAACACGAGAAAUUCCGUCGGAAUCCGCGGGGACCAUCCCGCAAGGCUAAAUACUCCCUAGUGACCGAUAGUGAACCAGUACCGUGAGGGAAAGGUGAAAAGCACCCCGGAAGGGGAGUGAAAUAGAUCCUGAAACCGUGUGCCUACAACAAGUCAAAGCUCGUUAAUGAGUGAUGGCGUGCCUUUUGUAGAAUGAACCGGCGAGUUACGAUUGCAUGCGAGGUUAAGUCGAAGAGACGGAGCCGCAGCGAAAGCGAGUCUGAAUA